rnacentral:rRNA from 1 species
CGUUAACGCUGGCGGUAGGCCUAACACAUGCAAGUCGAACGGCAGCACAGUAAGAGCUUGCUCUUACGGGUGGCGAGUGGCGGACGGGUGAGGAAUACAUCGGAAUCUACUUUUUCGUGGGGGAUAACGUAGGGAAACUUACGCUAAUACCGCAUACGACCUACGGGUGAAAGCAGGGGAUCUUCGGACCUUGCGCGACUGAAUGAGCCGAUGUCGGAUUAGCUAGUUGGCGGGGUAAAGGCCCACCAAGGCGACGAUCCGUAGCUGGUCUGAGAGGAUGAUCAGCCACACUGGAACUGAGACACGGUCCAGACUCCUACGGGAGGCAGCAGUGGGGAAUAUUGGACAAAGGGCGCAAGCCUGAUCCAGCCAUACCGCGUGAGUGAAGAAGGCCUUCGGGUUGUAAAGCCCUUUUGUUGGGAAAGAAAAGCAGCAGGUUAAUACCCCGCUGUUCUGACGGUACCCAAAGAAUAAGCACCGGCUAACUUCGUG